GACGAACGCUGGCGGCGUGCUUAACACAUGCUAGUCGAACGGAAAGGCCCUGCUUUUGUGGGGUGCUCGAGUGGCGAACGGGUGAGUAACACGUGAGUAACCUGCCCUUGACUUUGGGAUAACUUCAGGAAACUGGGGCUAAUACCGGAUAGGAGCUCCUGCUGCAUGGUGGGGGUUGGAAAGUUUCGGCGGUUGGGGAU
rnacentral:rRNA from 1 species